rnacentral:rRNA from 1 species
AGUCGAACGAAUCUUCUUCGGAAGAUGAGUGGCGAACGGGUGAGUAAUACAUAGGUAACCUGCCCCUGUGCGGGGGAUAACAGGAGGAAACUCCUGCUAAUACCGCAUAGCCAUGAGCACCGCAUGGAGCUCAUGCCAAAUAUCCUUCAGGGGAUAGCGCAGGGAUGGACCUAUGGCGCAUUAGCUAGUUGGCGGGGCAACGGCCCACCAAGGCAACGAUGCGUAGCCGGCCUGAGAGGGCGGACGGCCACAUUGGGACUGAGACACGGCCCAGACUCCUACGGGAGGCAGCAGUAGGGAAUUUUCGGCAAUGGGGGGAAACCCUGACCGAGCAACGCCGCGUGAGCGAAAAAGGCCUUCGGGUCGUAAAGCUCUGUUGUAAAGGAAGAACGGCGCAUACAGGAAAUGGUAUGCGAGUGACGGUACUUUACCAGAAAGCCACGGCUAACUACGUGCCAGCAGCCGCGGUAAUACGUAGGUGGCGAGCGUUAUCCGGAAUCAUUGGGCGUAAAGAGGGAGCAGGCGGCCGCAAGGGUCUGUGGUGAAAGACCGAAGCUAAACUUCGGUAAGCCAUGGAAACCGGGCGGCUAGAGUGCGGAAGAGGAUCGUGGAAUUCCAUGUGUAGCGGUGAAAUGCGU